rnacentral:rRNA from 1 species
CCCUUAGAUGUUCUGGACCGCACGCGUGCUACACUGAGUGGAUCAGCGGGUCAGGUUGCGCGAAAGCGUUUCCUAAUCUUUAAAUCCGCUCGUGAUGGGGAUUGACGGUUGCAAUUUUCUGUCAUGAACGAGGAAUACCUUGUAAGCGCGGGUCAUCAUCCCGCGCUGAAUACGUCCCUGCCCUUUGUACACACCGCCCGUCGCUCCUACCGAUUGAGUGGUCCGGUGAGGCUUUGGGAUCUGAGCGGAAAGAGCGUUUCGCUGUUUCUGCUCGGAAAACUCAGUCGAACCUUAUCAUUUAGAGGAAGGAGAAGUCGUAACA